AGAAAAUAGGAGUGGGGGUGAGAGAGAAAUUAGGAGGGGGGUGAGAAAGAGAAAUUGGGAGGAGGAGAAGGAAAUUGGAGCGGGAGGAGAGAUUGACAUUCAUCACAUACACACAAUGCAUCCCUUGCACACAGAAAAACACACAGACACACAUACACAAGCAAUGCAACCGUUACACACAAUGCAUCCCUUACACACACAGAAACACACAAUGCAUUCAUUACAC